rnacentral:pre_miRNA from 13 species
GCCAACGUCAGGGAAAGGAUUCUGCUGUCGGUCCCACUCCAAAGUUCACAGAAUGGGUGGUGGGCACAGAAUCCGGACUCUGCUUGUGGC